GACAGAGGGUGCAAACGUUGUUCGGAAUUACUGGGCGUAAAGCGCGUGUAGGCGGCUGCGCAAGUCGGAUGUGAAAUCCCAUGGCUCAACCAUGGAAGUGCACCCGAAACUGCGUAGCUAGAGUCUCGGAGAGGAAGGCGGAAUGCUUGGUGUAGAGGUGAAAUUCGUAGAUAUCAAGCGGAACACCGGUGGCGAAGGCGGCCUUCUGGACGAUGACUGACGCUGGAGACGCGAAAGCGUGGGGAGCAAACAGG
rnacentral:rRNA from 1 species